UGCAUAUCCUCUAACAAUGUUUUUUUCUUGGCAUUACUGGCAUUUGGGGCCAGAUAAUUAUUUGGAGACUGUCUAGUACACUAAAGGUAAUAAUUUGUCAGCUUACCUGGCCUCUACCCACUAGAUGUCAGUAGCACCCCCCAGUUGUCCACCCCAAAUGUCUCCAGAGAAUGCCAAAUGUCCCUGGUGGGAGUGGGAGGGUGGAUGCCAGUGGGUGGGGGGUGCUGCUAUUGAGAACCCCUGGUCUCACAGUUUUCUCCCUGUAUAGUUGAAGAGCAGGCAGAGAGGAGCAAUUAUGUAUACACAAGUUUGCACCACUGUUUUCUAGACUUUCCUGGAGGACAUAAUCACAAAAUACGGGUGUGACAUUCAAAUGUGGAUUUUCAAAUCGAUUGGUGUGGGAGCCCCUGGUGAGGGGUGAAACACCCUUCCUGUGUGUCUGCAUGGGGCACUGUGGAUGUUACAGCUCCCGCUGGCUGCUUCCUCUUUGGAGCUCCCCCCUGCGCCACUUCCUGGCCACCAUGAAGUAAGCAGCUUGAUGUACAAAGUCCUUUAGCCAUGGUGUUCCUGCCUCGGAGCCAGCCCACUGGAUCCUCUGAAACUGAGCCGAGGCAGAGUGUAGGUCCUGAGGUUCGCAUCUGGUGGGAGUUUGAUGUCUUCAACAUGGCAAGGAUUCAGGAGUAAAUGGAGAAAAGCAAAGGAAGACGAGGAGAUGAAAAUCCCUGACAGCCCUCCAUCCCCUUCCCCUUUCCAGGUGGGGCCUAUGGACCGAUCCAUGGGCUGGAUCACAGCAGGGUGGCCAGGAUCUCUGCAGACAGGAUCUGCAUGGCAGAGAAACACACCAAGUCCAAUACAGGGCAAUGAUCUCUCUGGGCUUUCAGCCUAGGCAAACAAAGCAGAUGCAAUGGAAGAACACCAGUGUUUACAAAACAGCAUGACAGGCGAGCUAGUGGGGCGAUUCCUGAUGGCCCUGAGUCUCCUGGAGCAAGGAGCUGACCUAUGUUUUUAAACUACAAGAAAAAUCACUGGGAUCUGAAAUGAGGGAGGCUUUGAUAAGGAGCAUUUUUAAAAAUGCAGCAUGAACCUGUUCCAAGUCCCCAAAGAGCAGAAACACAUCGUGGUCCCGCGCAUCUUCCACUCUGCACCAAGGCCCGGCAUGUUUACCCUGGAAGGAGGUGGAGUCUGCCUUGUUCCUCAUGCCAAAUACCUUCCCAUGAAACCACAGCUGACAAGAGCAAGUUGCCAGGAUUUUGUCCCUGUGUUGAACUUCUGACACCCUGAGUGUAAUAUGACAUGGAGAACUUCUAUUUUGGUCAUGGCUAUUUGGAGUUCUAGCUGUCCCAUUAUCUGU